UGCCAACACUACAACCACAGCUGCCAACACAACAACCACAGGCGCACCAACAACAACCACAGCUGCUGUUGCUUCGACAACCACAAACUUUUUUCUUCUGGUGUUCAGUUCAGAUGAGAUCUUUGCCAGUAAUCUCUCAGACAACUCCUCAGUGGUUUUCAGUGAUCGGGCUACUAAAACAAAAAAUGAGAUUGAGCCCUUCUAUCGCAAAGCCUUUAAAAGUUUCAUUCAGCUUUUUGUGUUGAAAUUCACACGUGGUUCCAUCAUCACAGACUGCAGAAUGGAGUUUAGACUUACUGGUAACGAGACUGCACCCAAUGCUAAUUCAGUGAAAGAUGUUCUGGUGGCUGCAGUCAACAGCGGGAAUCUAAGUAUCAGG